rnacentral:rRNA from 1 species
CCUACGGGAGGCAGCAGUGAGGAAUAUUGGUCAAUGGCCGGAAGGCUGAACCAGCCAUGCCGCGUGAAGGUCAGUGCCCUAUGGGCGUUAAACUUCUUUUGUGCGGGAGCAAUAAUGGUCACGUGUGGCCAGACGAGAGUACCGUACGAAUAAGCAUCGGCUAACUCCGUGCCCGCAGCCGCGGUAAUACGGGGGAUGCAAGCGUUAUCCGGGAUUAUUGGGUUUAAAGGGGGCGUAGGAUGGGAGGUAAAUCAGGGGGGAAAUGCCCCCGGUCAACGGGUUGAAGUGCCAUUGAUACUGGCUUGCUGGAAUGCGGAUGACGUGGGAGGAAUGUGUGGUGUAGCGGUGAAAUGCAUAGAUAUCACACAGAACACCGAUUGCGAAGGCAUCUCACGAAUCCGCGAUUGACGCUGAUGCACGAAAGCGUGGGUAUCAAACAGGAUUAGAUACCCGUGUAGUC